GAUUCUGUGUGAAGAAUACAGAGACAGACGUUCCAUUUCAAAGAAAAAAGAGCAACACGAAGGCCCUCUUUAAGGAGAGAGUAAACAUUCACUUUAGUCACCAUGUAACAAAUGCAGACAUCUCUGAGAUCACCAUGCAGUGAGGAAGUCUAAGCUGGUGGCAUGAAGAGGCCACAUGGAAAGGGCUAAAAAAGGGGCCAGCCUCAGUCAUCCCAGCUGAGCACCUGGCUGGGAAUAAAAGAGGACUCCGUGGAUGUCCAGCCCAGUAAGAUGACCUCAGCCCCAGCCACCAACUGACCAAGCACACAAGACAUCGUGAGGCUGCCUGCUGGAGCCUGGCCAGUGGGACUGUAGAGUAACUCAUUGUCGUGCAGGAACUCCUGGGAUGGUGUUGCCCAGUGACACAAUCCCAGUGUGGCCAUUUCUGAUCCCGAGAAAGCAGUCAGGAGUGGGUGGAUGCAGUUACAGUUCAUCAAGUCCUGCUAGUUCAAGUCAUGAGUCCUGAAUUCUCCAGGAGGAGCCACUAAAGAAAUGCAGAAGCAGGCAAUCCUUGCAAUAAGGCCAGCAAACUGCCAGUGUGAAGGAUGCCCAGGUAACCUGCCCAUGCCAGAACGGCCAGGAGAUGGUGGAACCAGAAUCUAAGCCCACGCCCAUCUGACCUCAAAGUCUGUGCUCCUGAGGUUCGCACCGAGUUGCCUCCUAAGACUUGCUGAAACUGGAUCACGUCCAUUUACCCAUCUCUGAGAGAAAUGCAAGCUUUAAAAAAGGAAAUAUUUACUAUGGAUAUUUUACAAUAGUUCCAAAACAUGAAAGUUUUAAAUAAGAUAUUCUUAACCAUCCUCACCACAUCUUCAGGUUCCCUUACAGCCACUGUGUUUUGACGAUUGCCCAUUAGAAAAAAAGACUAUGCUUUCUGUAGGUUUUAAAGGAAUGGUGGUGAAAUAAGGAGCAUUCCCUGAGCAGAUCUUGCCUGCGGGCACACCUCUGAGCAUUGGACCAGGCGAGAAGAGCCCAUGUGUUGGCUGCUUUGGGAUCCCAGCACUGCCAAUGGCAGGUGGGCUGUGGCCCAGGGAGAGAACCUAGCCUUUUGCAUUCUCUUGCCCCAUUUGAAAAUGGAGACGAUAGUGGCGCCCCGCUCAGUGUUAUUUUGAGGAUUUGAAUGUAUCUCAGAUGUAGUACCUGGAAAAAUAUAAGUGCUCAGUAAAUACGGUUGCCAGAUAAAAUGCAGGAAACCUAUUUAAAUUUAAGUUUUGGCUGGACAAUGAAUAGAAUAAUUUUUCUUAGUAUGAGUAUGUCCUUAUAUUUCAUCUGCUAAAUUUAGCAACCUCCUCAGUAAACGAUCACUACAAUUGCAGAAACGCCUUAUGACAGAUAUAGUAAAUCUGUAAAGAAAUAGGAACUUGCAUUUAUUUUUACUAAGCUCUGACUGGUUAAGAUAACUGGGCAAGAGAAGAUAUCUUCGACUAAACUUGCAGCACAUAGAGUAUAGAGAUUCAAAUUUGAAGUCCUAUAGGACUAGAAUGGCCAGAGGUGAACUGUAGCGAGCUUAUCUAAAGAGGACCAAUUUCAAAAGUUCCUCAGAGACUUAAAUGGGCCCACAGACCCCUCCUGUGUCUUUGCAUAAGCCAGCUCGUUAUAUCAGUUAUAAGUUGAUUUCCAGAGAAAUGUACCCUGGAGAUCCCUCUCCCACUUGAAAUAGGACUGGCCAAUCCAGAUGUCCCCCAGGUGAUGUUGGCUCAAAUGGAGCUCCAUAUAUUGGAGAAUCUAUUCAAGAAAACAAGCAAAAGUAUUUGUGACUGAGUUAGCUAAUGCCAGCUGGUAUCUUGAACAAACCCAGAUCUCUAACAUGCUAGUUUAUUUCGUAGUGUAAAAUGUGUGUUACUGAUGGGCAGACAGCUCUCAUUCAAGCAGUGACAGAUGUAAGCUCUUCCCAUUUUUGUGGCCCCAUUGUAUUCGGCGUGUGGCUUCCAAGUUGCCUGGGAUCAUCUCCACCCAGACUAAGGAAGAGGAAAGAGCUUGGACAACUGCACUUGGCUGGUUUUUAUGGAUCAGGCAAGGAAUUGGCUCCAACACAUUAGCUCACAUUCCAUUGGUUAGAACUGGGUUUCUCAACUAUUAGUACAGGGUGAGUGUAGGGUUUUGGCACCAUGGGCAUUUGAGCUGGCCAAAGGCUAAUCAGAGUUAGAACAAAGCCACAAAGCCUGUGAAUGGUGUUUAUUGUUGUGAGGAGCUGUCUUGUGCAUUGUGGAAUGUUCAGCAGGAUGCUCUCUGGCCUCAGAGACUCACUAGAUUCCCAUAGAACUCUCCUCUCUCCUCUAGUUGUGACAACCACAGUUGCCUCCUCUCCAGACAUUGCUAGAUGUCCCCGGGAGGCAAAAUUGUCCUGGUUGAGAACCACUGUGUUAGAACUCGGUCACAUGGCCAUACCUAACUGCAAGGGAGGGGGCUGGAAGAUCUAGACGAGUAGUAUGCCAGGAAGAAAAUAGAACUGAUUUAGAGGCUGCUGGCCAGUCACUUUCAGUGACCUUCAGCAUACUUAUUCCUCUGCAGCUGUCAGGACACUCAUGCCUGUUUCUGAGAUGUUUCCUGUGUGAGGGGACAUAGUGACUAUUGGAGGGGUGACAUGUUGGACUUGGGUAGGGUGAAGAGGAUUGGAAACCACCAUCAUGUUUGGCAGCAUUGAAUGUUUAUGACUAUUUGAAUAGUUGUGACAAGGGUACAGUGAAGGAGGAAGUAACCAUUUUUGAAUACCCUUUUACAAUUUGCAAAGCACUUUUAAAGGUAAGAGUGAGUUCCUAGACCAUAUUAGGGUGAGAAUGGACAUUGUUGGCUGCCAUAUCAUUGGGCAGGGGCUUUGAGAUUUUUGUCUUCAGAAGGCAGAUUAGAUUUGGAGUAGAAGGAGAAAUGUAAAGACCUGGUAUCUGAGUGUGUUUGCAGAGGGGAAUUGUCGUUUGGAAGCACAAGAAAGGGAAUGGCCCGUUGGCACAUAUGGUACAUUGUGUUUUCAUAUAAUUAUACCUGAAUGAAAGCAAGAGGAAACGUGUAGGAAGCUGUUUACAUAGUCCUUUUAAUAAUGUUUACAUGAGUUAAUGAACAUGCAAACGUAUCUGAUGAAAACAUGUCAGUAGUGAAACAGCCUUGUGAAGAAUCAGAUCUUACCUCAGGCUGGAAAAAAGGACUGGUUUUCCAAGCUCACAAAUUGCAGCCAGUGUGAAUAGUAGCACAAAUGACUGAGCUUUAAGACAUCCAUCCAUCCAUCUAUCCAUCCCCUCAUCCAUCCAUCCCCUCAUCCAUCCACCCAUCCAUCCAUCCCUUCAUCCAUCACUCCAUCCAGCCAUCCGUCCCUUCAUCAAUCCAUCCAUCCCUUCAUCCAUCCAUCCAUCCUUCCUUCCAUUCAUCCCUUCAUCCAUCCGUCCAUCCAUCCAUCCAUCCACUCAUUCAUCCCUUCAUCCAUCCAUCCAUCCAUCCUUCCUUCCUUCCAUUCAUCCCUUCAUCCAUCCGUCCAUCCAUCCAUCCACCCAUUCAUCCAUCCAUUCCUUCAUCAACUCAUCCCUUCAUCCAUCGUCUACCAUUCAUUCACCCCUUCAUCCAUCCAUUCAUUUAUCCAUCCGUCCAUUUACUUCCAUCCAUCCCUUUAUCCAUCCAUUCACCCAUUCAUCCCUUUAUCCAUAUGUCCAUUCCUCCAUCCAUCCAUCCAUCCAUUUACUCUUCAUCCCUUCAUCCAUUUUUCCAUCCAUUCAUCCAUUCAUCUUUUCAUCCAUCCAUCCAUUGAUCUAUCCAUCCAUCCAUUGCUCCAUCCAACCAUCCAUCCAUCCCUUCGUCCCUUCAUCCAUCCAUCCAUUCAUCCCAUCAUCCAUUGAUCACUUCAUCCAUCCAUCCUUCCAUCCUUCCAUCCAUUCUUCCAUUCAUCCAUCCAUGUGUUCAGCAAGUAUUUACUGAAUGCCUAUUAUGUGCCAAGCACUCUCCUCAGAACUUAGGAAAUACCAGGAAACAAAAUCAACAACAAUCCCUCACCACCUGGAUAUUACAUUUUGGUGGGAAGAGACAAAGAAAUAAAAUUGGUGAGUGAAUCACAUAGGUUAUUAGAAGGUGAUAAAGGUGUAGGUGAUAAAGGAGAAGUGCCAGGAGCAAGGAUUGGGUACAGUUGUGAAUAAGGUGGCCCCAAUAGGUUGCACUGAGAAGGUGACAUUUGCACAGAGACUUGAAGAAAGGAAGGAGAGAACAUGACUGUACCUGGGUAACAGCAUUUGUGGAAGAGGGAACAGCCAGUGUAAAAGUUCCAAGGCAUGAGUGCCUGGUACAUACAUGGAACAUCGAGGCCAGGGUGGCAGAAACGCGGUGAGUCCAGGAAGGGAAUAGGAACUAAGUGUAGGAAGGUGUACAGUGGGGUGGUGUGGGGGUGGAAUUGUGGCAGCCAGAUGGUGUUGGCCUAAGGCCUCUUGGCCCUUGUUAGGACUUGGUUUACCAUGGCGCAACACAUCCAUGAGAUUGGCAAAAAUUAAAAAGUCUGACAACAGAAAAUCUGGUAAUCUGGUGAGGAUGUGGAGCAGUGGGAAUUCUCCAAUACUGCCAGGGAGCAUGGGCAUCAAUCCCACCACACUGGAAUGCAAAGGGGCAUUCUGAGUAGAACUGAAGAUGUGCCCAUCCUUGACCCCACAGUUCCAGCCAUGGGCAUGCGCAUGAAUGUGCACACGUGUUGACUGCGGCAUUUGUUUGUCAUUAUGAAAACAUCUAAGUUUCCAUCUAUGGGAGAGGGGAUAAUGUGGGAGUGCCCAACAGUGGAGUUCUAGAGAGCAGUAAAAAUAAAUGGACUAGAGCUGCACACGUCAAAAUGGAUGAAGAUAAAAGACAUAAGGAUGGAAGAAGACCACCUGGCCACAGAAGUAUAUGUCCAAUAUGAUGCUGGUGUAUCCAGAGUGUUCAAACAAACAACACAACACUACUCAUUGUUUCCAACGUGAGUAUGAAAGUAUGGAGCAGUGCGGAGGGCCAGGAGUGCUGAAUCCACAUGGUUACUUCUCCAGGCGGGGGCCGAGGACCAGGGCUGGAGGUUUACUCCAGGAGCUUCAGUGGUGCAUGCUGAAUGUGCUGUUUCUUGGGCUGGGGGACAGAGAUGUGCAUGCUGUUAUACACUCUAUAUUGAAAUGAUUGUAUAACAAUAUACUAAUUUAUCAUGUAAUAAAUUUGACCAGAAAGAAACAACUGUUCUGUGGCUGCUUCCAUGACUGGAUUUCACGUUGUAGGUUUCUAAGCAGAGAGUCCAAGGAAAACCAAAGGAGCGGCGGAAGGAUAAGCCUCCCGGGUGUUCUGGGAGUGUCCCUUUGCUUGGG
rnacentral:lncRNA from 1 species